rnacentral:tmRNA from 1 species
GGGGGUGUCAAGGUUUCGACUUGGAAAUGAAGCAUAGGUGGCAUGUAGAGGAUGAUCGGUUGGCCUCUUAAAUCAUCCGAUCAAAACAAUAAACGACGAAUCUUACGAUGCGUGCGCGGUAGCUGCGGCUUAACAGCCUUAGUUACCCGGUAGCCCAUUUUCAGACCGAGAGGAAUGGAUAUCUACCGUCAUAUAUCUUGGUGGGAACGCAGGCCCUUUUGGAGGAUCUAGGCCGCAGUUCGACGCAGAGAAAAUCCAUCUAACCCCAAGCGACGAACCUUUCGGCAAGGUUAGAUUAAAUUAAGGUACUAAGCAUGUAGUCACUUUUGUGGAGUUUGCUAAGGACGAGAGUUCGAUUCUCUCCACCUCCAUUG